rnacentral:rRNA from 1 species
UACGAAGGGGGCGAGCGUUGUUCGGAUUUACUGGGCGUAAAGGGCGCGCAGGCGGUUCUGUUUGUCGAGUGUGAAAGCCCCGGGCUCAACCUGGGAACUGCGCUCGAAACGGCGGAACUAGAGUUCGGGAGAGGAGAGUGGAAUUCCCAGUGUAGAGGUGAAAUUCGUAGAUAUUGGGAAGAACACCGGUGGCGAAGGCGGCUAUCUGGACCGACAUUGACGCUGAUGCGCGAAAGCGUGGGGAGCAAACAGG